rnacentral:rRNA from 1 species
UACGUAGGGGGCAAGCGUUGUCCGGAAUCACUGGGCGUAAAGCGUGCGUAGGCGGUUCGUUAAGUCUGCUGUGAAAGCCCUGGGCUCAACCUGGGAACUGCAGUGGAUACUGGCGGACUAGAGUGUGAUAGAGGAUGGUGGAAUUCCCGGUGUAGCGGUGGAAUGCGCAGAUAUCAGGAGGAACACCGAUGGCGAAGGCAGGUCUCUGGGCCACUACUGACGCUGAGAAGCGAAAGCGUGGGGAGCGAACAGG